rnacentral:rRNA from 1 species
ACGAACGCUGGCGGCAUGCCUAACACAUGCAAGUCGAACGAGACCUUCGGGUCUAGUGGCGCACGGGUGCGUAACGCGUGGGAACCUGCCCUUAGGUUCGGAAUAACUCCCCGAAAGGGGUGCUAAUACCGGAUAAUGUCUUCGGACCAAAGAUUUAUCGCCUUUGGAUGGGCCCGCGUUGGAUUAGCUAGUUGGUAGGGUAAAAGCCUACCAAGGCGACGAUCCAUAGCUGGUCUGAGAGGAUGAUCAGCCACACUGGGACUGAGACACGGCCCAGACUCCUACGGGAGGCAGCAGUGGGGAAUAUUGGACAGUGGGCGAAAGCCUGAUCCAGCAAUGCCGCGUGAGUGAUGAAGGCCUUAGGGUUGUAAAGCUCUUGUACCCGGGAUGAUAAUGACAGUACCGGGAGAAUAAGCCCCGGCUAACUCCGUG